UUAUUGUUUUCGCCAUUCGGAGCAACAGUAGCAGAGAUGAAGAAUUGAAGAUUGGCCAGACAAAGAUGAAGUCUGUUAUGGUUUAUUUUCUUGUAAGGGCUGGAAUCAGGUAUAUAUAUAGUUUUGAUUGUUAUAAGCUCUUUAUGGAAAAAGAUGGUUUCUGAUUGUGAUGAAAUUGAUCAGCUGGUGGGUGCCAAAUUAUCUGUUGGCUACAACCACCUGGGAAACAAUGAUUGCAUGAAACUCUCAGCCCAACCUAUCAUUCCAAAAGCCGCAUCAUCUCCAGCAGUCAUGUACUUUGAGCCCAGUGAACACCCCAACCGCC
rnacentral:lncRNA from 1 species